UCCAGACUCCUACGGGAGGCAGCAGUGGGGAAUCUUGCGCAAUGGGCGGAAGCCUGACGCAGCGACGCCGCGUGCGGGACGAAGGCCUUCGGGUCGUAAACCGCUUUCAGCAGGGACGAGGCCCUCACGGUGACGGUACCUGCAGAAGAAGCCCCGGCUAACUACGUGCCAGCAGCCGCGGUAAUACGUAGGGAGCGAGCGUUGUCCGGAAUUACUGGGUGUAAAGGGAGCGUAGGCGGGAUUGCAAGUUGGAUGUGAAAACUGCGGGCUCAACCCGGAGCGUGCAUUCAAAACUGCGAUUCUUGAGUGAAGUAGAGGCAAGCGGAAUUCCUAGUGUAGCGGUGAAAUGCGUAGAUAUUAGGAGGAACACCAGUGGCGAAGGCGGCUUGCUGGGCUUUUACUGACGCUGAGGCUCGAAAGUGUGGGGAGCAAACAGGAUUAGAUACCCGCGUACA
rnacentral:rRNA from 1 species